GCCCAGAGCCUGAAUCAGUGUGUGUGUUAGUGGAAGCGUCUGGAAAGGCGUGCGAUACAGGGUGACAGCCCCGUACACAAAAAUGCACAUAUUGUGAGCUUGAUGAGUAGGGCGGGACACGUGGUAUCCUGUCUGAAUAUGGGGGGACCAUCCUCCAAGGCUAAAUACUCCUGACUGACCGAUAGUGAACCAGUACCGUGAGGGAAAGGCGAAAAGAACCCCGGCGAGGGGAGUGAAAAAGAACCUGAAACCGUGUACGUACAAGCAGUGGGAGCACGCUUAGGCGUGUGACUGCGUACCUUUUGUAUAAUGGGUCAGCGACUUAUAUUCUGUAGCAAGGUUAACCGAAUAGGGGAGCCGAAGGGAAACCGAGUCUUAACUGGGCGUUAAGUUGCAGGGUAUAGACCCGAAACCCGGUGAUCUAGCCAUGGGCAGGUUGAAGGUUGGGUAACACUAACUGGAGGACCGAACCGACUAAUGUUGAAAAAUUAGCGGAUGACUUGUGGCUGGGGGUGAAAGGCCAAUCAAACCGGGAGAUAGCUGGUUCUCCCCGAAAGCUAUUUAGGUAGCGCCUCGUGAAUUCAUCUCCGGGGGUAGAGCACUGUUUCGGCA
rnacentral:rRNA from 1 species